UAAUGAUUAAAGAGAUGACCUAAGAGGUCAGGAUUCAAAUCUGCAUUCAGUGUUCUUGGGCUAGUCACAAUCUCUCAGCCUAACCUACCUCACAGUGUUGUUAUGGUGAUUGUUAUCAGGAUUCUCUCACAGCUAUGGUAGCUAUCUUGAAGUUUAUGAAUUCUUCUUGUUGUCACUCUGUUUCUGCUCUGGGAAUCAUGAUUUGAUGAAACCAUGUCAGCACAGACAUCAACAGCAAAGUAUUUUGGGCAGUGUAAUUUUUUUAACACUCCACCAUUUAACAGCUUAGCACCCAAACGUUGGAUCACCGUGAUGUCAUUAUAUAGGAUGCAUCCAAUGGCUUGAAUAGAUUGUUACUCAUAAAACAGAGGAUAGAAUUCCAUCUGGCUGAAUGAGCUUCUUGAAGUGAGAGGUCAGAGACAGGCUAAUCUCCUGAAUUUACUGCUAGCUUGGUUGAAUUAUUCAUUGGAAGUAAAUUAUCUGGGAAAGAAAGCUCUAUUCUCCCUGCUCAUGAGCAGAUCCGGACUUCCCUGGAUUUAUUUUUAUACCCGAUUGUUCUGUUCAUCUGAAUGAGCUUUGGAGCAUUCUCAAAGGCUUGCCUCAGCUAUUUGUUAAACAUUGUAUUGUUUAAGCACACAUUUAGGGUUUUGUGUUGCGCUGCAAGUGACAGGCUAUGCCAGGAAAUGUUUGCAAUUAUUAAUUAAGGUGUGACACAAAAUGGCCAAAAUGGCCCAUUUGGAGCUGUGAAAUUUUCAUAGAGUGCUUACUCUUAUCAGCUUAUAACAUCCUUUAAGCCUCACAGUAAUGGGAGUAGAGUAAUCAUCUCCCUAGUCUUUCUCAGUGGGCAGCCAUGUCUAAAAGCCUGGUUGAGACACUGAAUGUAAAAGAAAGAAAGUGUGAGUAGUUCAAUUUUGCACAAUUAAGGUUUGGCAUCGUGAUCCUAGGUCAGUAUGAGCUCAGCAAGCUUCAAAAAGCAAACCUGCUGAUCUUUUCCGUCAGAGCAUAGGAAAUACUGAAUAAUAAUUAUUAUCUAAGUGAGACUUCACUACAUCGUGACUCCUGAAAGAUAAUGAUCAUGUGCAUUGUGCUAUCAAAUGCUGUUGUCAUUUGCCAUCAGUGUGCACACAGCGAUAAGGAAUCUGUGGCCCUCCAGAUGGUUGCUAGACUAAAAAUCCCAUCUCUCCUGAUCAUUGACCAUGCUAGCUGGGGCUGAUGGGAGCUGUAGUCCGUUCAAUAACAUCUGGAGUGCCACAGGUUUCCCAACUCUUGAUUUACAGGGUACAAUAGGACUACAUUUAAGGAGCAUACAACCUAAAAUUCAACAUGGGAAAUAACAGAGAAAGAGGAGGGAAGUGGAGGUAGGCCGAGUUACAAACUGAGUUACAGCAGGGCAAGGGAACUAGGGGGUUGUACCAAAGGCUUUGCGGGUGGGUAUUUAUUUAUUUCUUAGAUUUGUAUCCCACCCUUCCUUCCAAAAGAGCACAGGUCAGCAAGCAUUGAGGGAGGCUCUGAAUGAAGGACAAUAUGGAAUCUUGUAUGUGUUCUGGGAGGCAAUUACAAGCAUAUGGGCAGCAAGGGAGAAAGGGCAGAGUCUUUUAAGGAAGCAGGAUACUUUUGGAUUGUGGGUAAUAUUAAUAAUUAAUAGUAAUAAUAACUGGAUGCCCAAAUCUACAUUAUUCCAAUGUGUAAAAGACUGGAGAGUAUACAGAACUUUGGCCAAUCAAGCAAGCAUUAGAAUCUCCAGAUCAUGCAGCUAGCUAAUACCAUGGUAUAGAGGCUGGAACUGGUCAUUAGUGCUGAUUUUUACAAAACUACUCUUUGGAAAUUUGGUGCUCUAUUUCAUUAUUCUCAUGAAGCGCUAUAGAGGAACACUGAAGCAAUACAUUGAACAAACAGCACAGGUUAAUGUUAGCCGGUUAGUUCUCUUCAGUGGUCACAAUCAUUUGUUUGCGUCAUGAGUCAUUUAAGUAGUUCAAUAGUUUUUAAUUCCCUGGCUCAAGUAAAUACGAAUAGGCUACAUUUUUCAUCCAAUCACUAUUUGGCUCUUUAUUUCCAAUCCAUUAAUUUGCUCUAGGAGAAGUAGUUGUUAUGUUUAAGCUCAAAACAAGGGAAUUCCACAGGAAACUGGAAACCAGCCAUGAUGUGGGUAGGUUUUCUGUGAGAAAUCACCACAAUGUGCAAUACAGAAAUAAUCCAGAACACGUGCCUGCAAAACUCUAUUGACUGUGUACACACCAUACAUUUCAGUUUUCAAAGUACAUUUAAAGCAGAUUAACUUCCCCCAAAGAAUCCUGAGAACUGUAGGUUACCUGUCACAGAGUUACAAUUCCCAGCGCUCUUAACAAACUACAUUUUCCAGGAAUCUUUGGUGUUUUAAAUGUUUGGUGUGUAUAAAGCCUAUUGGUUGUGCUUUACAAUAACUUGGCAGUAAAUUGCUUUUUUAAAAGUUAUGCAAAAUUUAGAUCAGAAGUAUAUUGAUCAAGAGUAUUCUUGGUUCUGGAAGAAAAAAGAUUAUGGCAUUAAGAAUUUAUGCACACGUAUUUCUGAUCCUGUUAUUGUUGCUUCCAUUUUAAAAAAGAAUAGCUGUGACUAACUUUUUCGGAGAAAUGAAUGAAAAAGAUCCAGUGAGAAAUGCAUUAUCUCUGUGUGCAUAUGUAUAUGUCUAGAUUACACCAGCACUAAAAUUUGUCAAUAGACAGUUUGAUUGUAGAGAAUAUGGUUAAUACUGAUAGAAGCAAGUAAAAAAUAAAAUAGGUAUAAAAGGAGAAUUCCUAGAUACCAAUAUCCAAGUUUGGGGCAAGUAGUCCUUGGUAAAAGAAUCCCACCAGAGAUUUAAUAUCACAAAUUAUGAAGCAAAGUAAAGCAUGGAAAUAUAGGCUGUUAGACCUUUAAAACAUGUUAUUCUAAGUUCCUUCCAAAGUUCCCUAGUUCCUCUAGCAUAGAAAAAUACCACGUUUAGUAAGUUUAAAAUGGUUACAAUCUCUUCAAAGGUCAGAUUCAUGUGCUUUCAGGGGGAAAAUGCACAGAAAGUAAAAUUUGGCAUAGUUACAGUGAUGAAAGUUAUUACAUUAUUGGUAUAGGAACUCAAGAAUAGCGUGUGAGAGCCAUGUGGAGCAAUAUGUUUGGAGCAAUAUGCUGAGCUUCUCGGGUAGACUUAAGGGGAACAACAGGCUUGAUUACUUUCCUCCCAAGGUGACAAGGAAUGACCUAGCUAAGCCUGGCAGGACAGCUCACUCUGUGACAUUAUCCCCUUCAUGCAUUUAUUAGAGUUAAGCAUGUUGGGUAUAUGAGGCUGCUUAUCCCACAAAUACUUAACAUGAGUUGCUGCCACACUAUUUUUCAACUCAUGUCCAGGCACUCUACCAAUAGGCAAUUUACUAUUACUUGAAAACCAAUUUACUAUUACUUGAAAACCAUUAGUAACUGAAAAGUAACUCAUGGGUCAUUUUGUGGUCCACUGCAGACAUGUCCCUGACACACACUCUUUUGGGACCAGGUCACAGGAGUUUUCCACAGCAAUGGGAAGUGGGAGAGACAAUAAAUCAUAGAUCCCUUGGGACCUGCUUGCAGGGGCUAUAGCACUGAAGCCUUACAUGUUUAAAUAUGCAACAGAGAUAGAGAACCAAAACAUAGAUGACAUAUCUAUGGUCUCAAAGUACUGCUUCAAAAGGUAAUUUAUCCUAAAUCUCUGAAGGUACAGACCUUGGAUGGAUCAUGUUUUCCUGAGCAAAAUGCCUGCUCCUGCACAUGCACUGCAUGAACUUCUAAUCCUGUAAACUGGUAUUUUGAGGGUCUGAAAAGUUUGAAGACGAGUGUUUUCUCUUUAUGGAUUCAAGAAGUAAUUUGGGGGGUAUAUUUGCACUGAAACAGGAACAUAGUGCCUUAUUAUGCCAUCUGCAAGGUUUGCCAAUGUCUAAUCACCAACAUUCUCCGAUUUACAAGAUAGGCACAGCCUUAACUAAUUCACACAAAAGAGUUUUCAUUUUUUUUUUCAAGCAUAAUGAAUUUUGAAAGCACAACUGCCUCUUUUUUGGGGACAACUCAACAGAGAAGAUCUGUGUUCAAUACAUCAUGACGCCAAGUCACAGAUCUUUGUAAAUAAAUAUGAUGACAAUAUUAGAUGUGCCUAGCAUACCAAUCUGUUGAAAAGUUACUCUGCAGAGGAAAGUGCCUUCUUGUUAUUCAAGUUCCGUACUAGUAAAAAUAAUGUGUGGCAGCUAAGCAUUAAAUCUAGCUUUAAAAGUUCCACGGUAAAAGGCUGCUUGUUACUAAUGGAGGUUGUUAGCUUAGAGAACCAAUUGCCAUAUGGAGAAAAACAGCAUAACUAGUAUGUUUCAGAGUGUGCAUCUUGUACUUUCACUCCAUGGGCACAAUCUGUCUUACGUGGCUCCCAUUCAUUUCAAUGGAGCCUGCACAUGAGGACUUCCCAGAUAAUGUAUAUUCUUUGUCUUUUAAAAAAUGCUCCUCUUUGAAUUUGUAGAAGAAUGAAGAUACAACCCCCGCCCCACAACAGCAGUGCACCAGUCUGGCAGGCAGCAGCUUUCCAUGGUCUUAAAGAGUGAUGGCUCCUACCUAAUCCUUAACUAGAGAUGCCAGAGAUUGAAUUUGGUACGAUUUGUAUGGAAAACAUGUGCUCUUCUGCUGAGCUACGGCAAGGUGAAAUGCAGCAACUGCAGUCCUGAGAUUCCACAUGCAGCAUCCACAAUACUAUGAAAGCCUAUGAAAUGAAUUACUAUCAGGCAUGGAUGUUCUUUUGCUAUGCCAUUCCCGUGACGUUGCUAUUUGCAGAUGGGCAUUGCUGGUGGGUGCGUUAAUGAAAUGCUUGUGAAUAAAGUUCUAAAUGUAAGUGUAGGACCUCUUGUCAAGUUGGAGAUACAAUGCACUGGAGUUUUCAGAGACUGAAUUCUUGCUUUAAAGGUCAUGUUCUAUUUUCAGUAAAGUGUUAUAUGGAUUUUUAACAAGUAUUGUACUAUUCUGCUUUUUCUGACACUUAGCAUUUCAACCGCAAAUUGUAUGUAGGACUAUGAUCACUUUGGUUUGUAUAUGUUGCAAAACUACAGGUAUUUGUAUGUUGCUCAUAAUAUGUCUUGAGUUCCACAUAUUUUUCAUAUAUGACGGAGGCCAGAAACUAAGCUUGCCAAAUUAGGUAUAUGCAUUUGAUGUAGUAUUCUCUAACCACAAAACCUUAUGCUAAUACACAUUUGUUAGGGUGUUAUAAUAUUCCUUAUUGUUUUUCCUCAGAAUAAGAAUAUGACAUCAACAGAUAACGGACUUACUCUGUGUCUUUCUAGUGAGCAACAUAUUAUUAAAUAAAUAAUAAAACCUAGAUUAAAAUUCAGUGAAGGAGAUUGUAUCAAAUAUAUUUUCACAUGGUCCAAAGCAGCCAUGGAAAAACUCAAGUUAUUGGUUUCUUUGAGUUUUUCAUCAAAAAAUGGAGACCAUAUGUGAAUGUGCAGCAACAAAUCUACCCCAAACAUUUGUCUUUUAUUUGGCAAAUAUACAUUUUACAGAAUAUACCUGUUCCUGAGGCUUGGGUGGCCUGAGGUAGGUCAGAGCUCUAAAUAUCUUUAGAUUUCCCCAGUGUGGUUUACAAUUUGCUCUUGGGUUUACAAUCAACACUCACUGGUCCUGCCUCUCUGAUAUGUUUAUAAGCAAAAUUUAAGAAGUCAAUUUACUAAUGUAUGCGUGUGUCAGUUGUAGCAAAUACAGUGGUACCUCAGGUUACAUAUGCUUCAGGUUACAGACUCCGCUAACCCAGAAAUAGUGCUUCAGGUUAAGAACUUUGCUUUAGGAUGAGAACAGAAAUCAUGCUUCGGCAGCGCGGCGGCAGCAGGAGGCCCCAUUAGCUAAAGUGGUUCUUCAGGUUAAGAACAGUUUCAGGUUAAGUACGGACCUCCGGAACAAAUUAAGUACUUAACCUGAGGUACCACUGUACAAUAUUUUCUUCCAUGACAGUCUUCAUAUGAAAAGAAACCUUGCUUUACUUCUUUGGAUGUUUCAUGAAUGUAAUAGUUUUCAUCUUCCCCACAGGGCUGUGACUAAGACUGGUUUAUAUACUGAAGAGUACUGCUAAACCGUUUUUCAGCUCUCCGUGACAUUUCCAGCCAGAAAGAAUUUACUGGCACAUGUUUGAGGUGUCCUGCAUUCUGCUUCCCAUACUGAAUACUAAGCUAAUAACUCAUAAUUCAGGCUUCUUAUCAUCCCAGGCAAUUAAACACAACAGCAGAUGAAUCAAAUCAACCUUAUUCAUAUUCUUUUUCACUUCCAUAGCCUAAAUUUAAACUUUAUGAACCCAG